AGGUGAUAUUUGGCUGGAACUUUUAGAAUUAUUGUAAUCAAAUCCCACAAUCCAAUUUGAUUGAUUAAAUGUCGAUACAUGGUUGAUGUAAAAGUGAUGUAACAUCUUAAUUAUUAACGCAUCAUCAAUCACAACACUACUACAUCACUUUCACAUUAGCGAUACAUUAAUAUUUAAUUAGUCAACUAAAUUAGAUUGUACGACUUGGUUGUAACAAUUCGCAGACCAAAGUAUCACCCAUUUUAUAGCCAUAUUUAUUUAUU
rnacentral:lncRNA from 1 species